rnacentral:rRNA from 1 species
CCUACGGGGAGCAGCAGUGGGGAAUAUUGGACAAUGGGCGAAAGCCUGAUCCAGCCAUGCCGCGUGUGUGAAGAAGGCCUUCGGGUUGUAAAGCACUUUCAGUGGGGAAGAAAGCCUUGGGGCUAAUACCCUCGAGGAAGGACAUCACCCACAGAAGAAGCACCGGCUAACUCCGUGCCAGCAGCCGCGGUAAUACGGAGGGUGCGAGCGUUAAUCGGAAUUACUGGGCGUAAAGCGCGCGUAGGCGGUCUGAUAAGCCGGUUGUGAAAGCCCCGGGCUCAACCUGGGAACGGCAUCCGGAACUGUCAGGCUAGAGUGCAGGAGAGGAAGGUAGAAUUCCCGGUGUAGCGGUGAAAUGCGUAGAGAUCGGGAGGAAUACCCGUGGCGAAGGCGGCCUUCUGGACUGACACUGACGCUGAGGUGCGAAAGCGUGGGUAGCAAACAGGAUUAGAUACCCGUGUAGUC